UUUUGUAAAAUAGGGCCUUAGGUUGGGAUCCGUCUUUAUUCCGAGGUCAAAAUCGCGGCCCACUUGUAUCGGGGAGGAGAAUGGGACCCCUCUCGCGCGGUUCCGUUCCCUUCCCCUCUGCCCCUCGCGCCCCCGUUAAAUCCCGUCGGUCGGCCUACGGCAGCUCGAGCUCCGGCAAGCUCUAAUUAGAUUUUAAGUGAGAAAUUGAGCCUGCCGGCAAUUUUAAGGAAGCCGAACACACCGCCCUGAUUAAUAUCAUUAUGUGCGUUCGCUUGUUACACCGUAGGGCCCACGAGAUGGAAUCCGCGGGAUGUACAGGCGGAUGCAAAACUCCGUUGUAAUUCAGCAUAGCUUGCUGCUCGAGCGGUGAAAUAUUUUCUUGAACAAAAUAUCUAUCGCUAUUGUAGAUUUCUUCUCGAAAAUCAAUCUUUGUAAAAAAGUUUUGUUACAAUCUGUUCCGCAUAUUGCACUAUGUAUUGGAUAAAUUAAUUUUCUAAUUCGCAUAGAGAAUAAUGAAUUGUGUUUGUGUUCUAUACACAAACACUAUGAUAAGGGACCAGUGUAUCUCCAUCAUUGAAAAAAAAUGUUUAAGAACAAUCCGUCGUUUUUGUUACAACAAUGAAAUAAAUAUAAUUCUUGGAGCGUGCUAUAUCAAAAUAUGCAGCGACUCUCGCGCGAUCGUCGAGAGAUAGCCAGUGGCUCCUCUCCGUCCCGGAGAGGCCCGAAGGACGAAAGGCGGAAGAGAGGCAGCGCCGAAGAAAGGCUCACCGAAUAGCAACGCGGUCUUCGUUCGGAAGAGAGAUAUGCCAUUACAAACGCUUAUUUUCGGGUGAUCGUGCGCGGUGCCAUGAAAGGAACAACUUGCAAUUAUCAUUGUUGUGGAUGCAUCGGGCCGCAUCGGGCGGUAGUCUCUUUUUUUUUUUCUUUUACGUCUCGAUUUCUCCUUCUCUUGUCCCGGGGCAACGCUAAUUUUUGCGUUUUCAGGAAACGAGGCCCGUUGUCCACGAUCACCUCGCCGCGUGUUCCCCGACAUGCAAAUCGUGCGUAUCGGUACGCAAAUUUCGGUACGUGCAUUGAAUGUGCUCGGUAAAAGUACAAUCAGCAGUAAAGUAAUUUAAACGGUCAUUCUCACCCACACACACACACACACACACACAUACACACAUAUUAUACAUACGUAGACGAAUAAUCGAAAAAUAACUCUGAGUUUACCGGGAGAUUAUAAUUGAAAAAAAUUAUUGAACAUAUGAGAUCAUACCCUUCUUUGUUGAGCAAAAGUCUCUCAAACAGGUGGCAAUUUUCUUCUUUCUCCACGCUAACGAAAAUCGCGAAUGCAAAUCGUACAGAGGAGCGACGUUUUCUCACCGAAACGAAACAUACAAACACGAUAUUAAAUAAUGCAUAACAAGCAUUAUGUUGCUGCACAUUUGCUUUAAUGACUGCCAGCUGACUCGGCGCUACCAAUAUAUGCCGUAACAGAUUAUAUAUAUUAUCUAAUCGCUUAAAUAGCAUGUAAUCAUUAGGAUUAUAUUAAUUGUAUUAUUAUCAAGUAUAAUAGCGCGGCCAAUGAAUUGGAAGAGGCUAGCCUGAGACAGUCCGUUGUCGUUUUUAUAAUGAAACAGUCAGUCCGUACUAUUAGCGCGAUUCAGCAGUAGAAUAUUUUUACAUAAAUCUUCAUCUUUAACGUAAUCGACGUGUGCGGUUGCACACCGCGGCCCUGUUACUGUUACUUGAAUGCCGAUGACGUUGUCGUUAACGCAGGACGAUCGAAAUCAUUAGUCUCGGCAAAGAGCCGUCAUUAGCACAGCAUUAAACGGUUAUUAAGGCGUGCGCGCGCGGAAAAAUGUGAUCUGGCGGGGCGAAUAAAUCAGACAAGAAAAAAAGCUGGCGCGCGUUUAACUAUUAAUCACCCGGCCGUCCGAUGCCGGCUGCGGUAGUGCCUUGUUUUAUAUCGAUUUCUGAUUCAGUGCUUUGUUUACUCGUCGUUUUGAUGCGGCCGCAAGUUUAACGACAUCGAGGUGUCGCGGCCGACACGCCGUUUGCAAUUGGAGUCGCAUAAAUGAAUGGGACGCAACCCCGUUUGCGUUUGUUACCGUCCGCUAAUUAAGCCUCGACGUUUGUGAGAGGAGGCUCCGUUGAUGUUUACGUAACAUCGAAUUUUGUCAAAUAUAUCUUGACGGAAAUCGUGAUUAAAUGCUAAUAAUUUUUAUUCUAAAUGAAGCAUCGAGAUCUCCGAAUCUUAACCAUUCGGACGAAUCAGCCUGAUCGCAGGUCGAAAUAAUUUUUUCCAAAAGAAAUUUGUCACGCGGUGAUUACGUAAAUGCCAUUACGGAAGCGUCGUGCGUGCGUCCGGUUUUCGUUUCGUAAAAGAGCGGCAUAAUGAAUGUGCGGUGGCGCGGUCGAGUAGACUUUACCCUCCUCGAAACCGAGGCGAGCGGCGAUCGUCGGUCGCGCUAUUCAUCAGCUGCGCUCUUUUACCACCGGCGUGACAUGCCGUGGCUAAUAGCACCUCUAAAGCGCCAGACAGCGACGAUAAUCCCCGACCGUUCCAUUCCGCGGGCACCCCUCUAUGCGCCCGCGAUUUCCCGAAAUCUCGUGCGGGCGUCACGGGUAUCACCUGUCGUCCACGCGCACGCCGGCGCGGCGGGCACGCAAACGUAAAAAAAUGUGUUAGCAUGCAGGUAGCAUAAUUCUCUCGAUGACUUAGUGCGGUUUGACCUACAACUCGAGCCUUUCUAUUAGGAACACGUGCCGAGUUUCUGAAUAAUUUUUUACGCUUUAACAGUUAAAUGCGUGUUAUAACACUACAACCGCCAAGGAUGCUAAUUUGGUAAUUUUUUUAUUUUGUUUUCGGUCAGUAAAUAGUUAUGGUUCGUAUCGUUAGAUUUAUUUCUGUUAUAUUUUCAAAAUAUUCUGUACAAAAAAUAUAAAAAAGAAAUAAAAAGGAAUUGAAGUGAUUAGUAGAGCCAAAGUUGCUUCGGCGGUAUUAGUGUUAGUGUAAUCUCUGUGCAUUUUUACUUGCGCAUUCUUUUAACAAAAUUAUUUUGUCAAAGGAAAGCCCUUGAUAGCACUAUGGAUUUGAAACUUAAGUUUCAUUGUCUUCACCGAGAUUUGAAUAUGUCGGCCUGUAAUCUCCCUUUCUCUUCCAUUUUCUGCACUUUAAUUCCGGGUACAAGAUCUCGUGCAGAUUACGAGGUAAAUAAAGUUGUUAACGCACAAGGCAGGGAGUUAAAGUUAUAGUCCCUCGAAAUUAAUGCGAAUAAACCAGCAGUUAUAAAGUAUUACACGUAUGAAAGAUUUAUUACGUAGGAAUAAUUAUAUAAUUCAACAUGUUCAAUAGCGCAUUAAUUUUGCGUGACUCGCCGCGUGAUCGCGCGAAAAAAAAAUUAGGUAUGCAUAAUUCCCUUAUGUUAUUGCCGGUCAGGUAAUUUAUAUUGGACUAAAUGUGUUAAUUAAUCUGACGUAUCAAGAUUUAAAAGAAUAAAUAAGCUGCUAGAAGCAGGCCUGAAUUUAAUCGUUGCGUGGUUAAAUGAUAAAUAAACGACAGGGAUAAACAUCGCGUAUCCAAGUAGUUUAUACCUCGAAUGCAAGUAAAAAAUGAGCCAGGAGGUUCCCACUUAGCUUGACUUAAUUAAUGACCGAAUCCAUCAUCGGGACGUUCCCACAAUGAGGCAGAAGACCGCCUGCCACCCUGCGAAGUAAAGCCUGCGUGCAACCCUUUUUUUUUCACCGACCACCUCUUUUCACGCGUAUUGCCAAGUAGACAAAACCGCGACGCGACAACUGGCUGGCCAGUUCACCUUUCCAGAACGAAGAUCUCCGUCGUCGUCGUCGUCGUCGUCGCCUAUAACGGUCGUUUCAGGACCGUUUCAGGAGGCUGAACUCGAUUCCUAAACUGGAUUUUGACAACACGUUGACAAAACAUUUCGAAACGAAGCGACCCUAGUUAAAAUGAGAUUGCAAUGGAGCCAUCUUCCGGUGGAAAGUGUUUGAGAGUUAUCGACUUAUAAUGCUAACCAUAAUCUAUUAAUUUAAAUUAUUAAAAUGUUAAUAAUUUAAAACGAACAUAAGAAGCGUCGAAAGCCAGAACACAUCCUAAAUCACACUACUCCAAUUACACUCAAACCCUCUGGCAUGUAUUCAUUUAGAAAAUCUCAAAUUAGUUCGAGCCACACGAGCGAGAUGGAAGUCCGGUAUCGAUGUCGCGAGACUGUUGCCUUCGGUAUCAAGUCAUCAAAAGCGCGUGCAAGCGACCGCCGCCCUCGUCCGAUGAUAAAUGAUACGUUGAAAUCUAGCACGGCUGGAACCGUUCUGCAGCGAUGCGGCGUGAAACUUCCUUCCCGGCGAACGAAGACACGGCAGAACAGGAAAGAAAAAAGAAGUCAACAGAGAAAGAAAGGGAGGGAGGUAGGGAUGAGAAGUCUGAGAGAUGAGUGCCUGUCCCAAUGUUCUGCGCCGUAGUGACCGGUAACCGGUGGUGACCAGUGAGAGAAUCCCAGAAAGAGCCGAGAGCCAGUCUUGCAGACUCCUGAAGGCUAGAACUCCUAGGGAAUCCAAGCAAAACCGGUCCAGUCGGAUCCGGAGCACCCGCUGGUCAGUCCAGGCUGCCGACUAUCCUCUACCUGAUCUUCCUCCUUCUCUUGUCUUUCCUUUUCUCGCUCUCUCUCUCUCUCUCUCUCUCUCUCUCUCUCUCUCUCUCUCUCUCUCUCUCUCUUUCUUUCUUUCUUUCUUUCUCCUUCCUUCUCCGACGGCCUCGCUCUUUCGAGCACUCGAGUACGUCUAUCCCUCUUGAAAGCGUAGUGGACAAAGCGAAGACAGACCAGAACACGCUCUGCCGCCUGUCAAAAAUCGAUAUUUCGUGUAAUUAUUCGUACGGUGCGCGAGGGAAAUCCACCUUUCCAUCGUUGUCGUCGCUACUCUCUCGAGGUCGGAAGAGCGAGGCGGAUUCUCAUUGUCGUGUAACCACCAUGAUCUUACAUAACGGAAAAAAAUUCACAGAGAGAAAAAGAGAGAGAGAGGGAGAGAAGGAGAGACAAUCUUUGCAGUUUGCGCGGAGCGUUUCAAAAUACCAACGGUAUGACGGAUGCGGCUCGAACUAACUCGCGACUAACUCUUCCUUUCACUCCGUCCGUCAUUGUUGCCGCGAUAUAUUUUUCGCGCGCUCGCUCGCGACGUCUCCGCUAACGUUUUUUUUUUCCGAGCGCGCGAUAAAUUCCACAGUGAGUUUCAUAAAUCUCUCAGAUGAGUCGAUGGAAUAUUAUCACGCAGAUAUCCGAUCUUUUUAUACGUUAUUUUCCCGUUUUAAAAAUCAAUGUCGUGUAACGCGUCAUCUACAAAAAACAUGUCCUUCGAUAAGAGACCUGGAUGAAGAAAUUUCUCCGACUUUGAGAAAUUUCGCCGCGUCGUAUCUCCGUCAGCACAAUCGGGCCACGCCACUGAUGAUGUCCGGUAGCGUGACAGCGUCCGGCAUAGCCGAUCGACGACGAAGGCUCCCGCGAGCGAGGACGCGACGGUAUGCGGUAACAACGUAUAACGUCGCAGAUAGUAUCUCGAUAUGGAAGAAAAAAAAAUCGAGCGUCGCGGACGUCGAUGACGUGAUUAGGCUGGAACGUCGUCGUCGUUAGCUCACGCCCGUGACGAAUCACCCCGUGGACUAUGCGGAGGACGACAAUUCGCCCUGCCUCUCACUUUCUCUCUUUUUUUAUUUUCUUCUUUUCUUCCAAGGCUUCCCUUUCCUUCCCUUCCGAGAGAUGAAAAGGAUCACCGGUAUGUAAGGGCGGGACGGCAUGAUUUUUCCCGUUACGAUCAAUCUUGUGAUCGAUCUGUCAUCAUUAGAUUCUAAAGUGGAAAAGCCCAACGCACGCUGCUACGAAAAGUCGGAAAGCAACUUUCCAGCUAUGCCUUUGCCAGCAGCGACAAAAUGCCAUGUUACCUUACACGGUCAUCGAUAUCUUAAUUAUUUAAGAAUAUUCAAGCGGAUCAUCGUAAUGAUCCUAGGUGAGUUUGAAGACAGCAAUGUGCACCGCUACAAUAUUCUAACACAAUGUUGGAAUAUUGCAGCGGCCACGCGCAGUUCUAAAGCUCGACAAACGUGCGUAGGUAGUUGGCGAUCUGCGCGCGCUCAAUACAUUCCCGAGGACUACGAUAUUAACUCAAGUUCGCGUAAAUUAGAGGGGAACGAGGCGAGAAACGUACGUAGUCGCUGGACUCCAUAUCUCCGAGGCCGCAACGAGGUCGGGUUCUCACAGGAAAUGGCCGAGAUGAUCGUCGAAUGGAGAAGGCGCGAAAAUCGGAAUUGCUUAACGAAGGGUAUAAAGACAUCGACGAGUGACGAUAAAGCGCGAAACGAACCGACGGGCACCACGAGCUGUUAGGUUCGCGAAGUUAUCCGCGCCGGGUCCGUGCGUUUCACCUUGACUUUUUUCGUCCUUAAUCGGUCGAUCGGCCGUAUCUCGCGCCCUCGCGGACUUCGCAUCUGGAAACCUUACACCGGAUUGUUCGCGAGAAUGGCGCACGUUUUUCACGAUAAAACAGAAGACAAGAGCACAGUAAAACUCUCCCUGAUCUCCGUCGAGUGGGGCUGUUACAAGUGCAGUUUACAAUAACGAUCUCUCUCUAAGAUAUUAUCGUCUGUCGUUAUCGCGGAAUAAAUGCAUGUAAUAUGCGAUCCUAGUUAUUAACGCGAUUUCCGAUUCUUAUCACAUCUUAUUUUCGAUUGAUACAAACGCUUUCACAGCCUAGUAACAGAUUUCGAUUCUACGUCUUUCGUUUUUUUUUUUUUUCCCCAACACGAUUUCUCCAGCUAUAGAAUUCAAAAAAUAAUAAAUAAUGAAACAAGUGUUAGAAUGCACGGUUCGAUAUUUAUAUUAUGACAUAGAUUUAUGUUCCUAAAAACAGUCAGGAUGCAUACCAAAAUGAAAAUGUCCAAAGAUCACGUACAGCAUUCUUUAGAAUGUGUCGUACGUUGGCAUCCUCACCUGAUCGUUGGCAGAACUAUAGGGAGAACAGAAGAUAUAAGGAGAAAGAAACAGCGUUCUCAGAACCUUCUAGACAAACUAUCGGGCCGACAGACACUUCUUUCGUAGGGCGGUAAACGCGAAAAAGAUCGUGCUAUCAAUCGUGCCCGUAGGAUUACGAGUCCUCUCUCCGGUGUAUCCCUUUAGCACGGUGUGACUCACCAAGUUGCACUACUUCUCUUUCGAAUCGUUCGACUUCGUCACAAUCACGACCAUAUAAAAGGCACGCAAGAUUUAAGUGAAGAUUUAAGCAAAGGUUUGCCUGCAUGAGAGAUACCUUUACUCUUCAAUAGCGGCUCCCUCUCUCUCUCCCUCUCACACACACACACAUACACACACACACACUCUUUCUCUCUCUUUUUCUGUCAACGUAGAACGACGCGAAUGAGAUACCGACCGCAGCCAACCGGGAACGGAGCGUUCCCUUUGAAUUUCACUAGAGUUCUGCGCCUCGCGUGCAUGUUCACGCCAACAAAUCGGAGCCAGAGAGAAGGAAAGAGAGAGAGAGAGAGUUCUCCGAGAGAAGCUGUCGGUCGUGAAGCGAGAUGUCGGCAACUCUUUGACGCGCUAUUGUAGCGUCCAUUAUUAUUCAGAUUCACCUUGUUUGAACUCCAUAUUUUGUCGUCCGAAGCUGUCGAGUUUAUCGCGCGCCCGGUAGCAACUUGUAUAUUACAAAAAGUAGUAAAUCUGCUUACGACCUGACACUUUCGCGAGCUUUUUGGUCACUGAAGAAUAAAAAGAGGCAGACGCUUAUGCCUUUCUGAUGCAAUUAGAAAAAAGAAAACAUUUAGGGAAAUGUUUUCGGAGAGAAUAAUCAUUCACGAAACAGAGUUGGUUUCUCGACAUCUUAACGAGGUAUAAUUAAACGGCGGAAGAUACGAAGCGACGCCGGUAAGCAUAGCCACUGACAUGGUAAUUGCCGUUGUUACGUUCCUACGAACGUCGUAUUUAACGGGUAAACACCGUUCGCCUACUAAUCGCGCGAGGAAAAGCCCUAUUGAUCGAUCGCGUUCGAUGCACCCUGCGUUACGUCGCUUCCGCAUGUGGUGUGUGUAUGUGUGUGUAUAUGUCUGGCCCUUUUUUUAUUGCUAUUACAUUUCCCGUGGAAUCUCUUGUAACGGUCGCUCGUAUCCGACAACUCGUUACGGUUAUUGUUAUGGUUACACGUUAGCCGAUAUUAGAAUCAAUAUUCAAGGGCCGCAGCAAUUUGUAUCUAUUGGCACCAGGCUUUUAAUUCACUCGGAACUGUGACAAUUGUUUGCUCGAUAAAACGUUCGUAGAAAUGUGAAAGAAAUGUGUUUUAUUUACACACAUACACGCACGCGCACGUUUUAUUUAUGUCGGGUAUACUGUACUUCUGCAGAUAUUAUUCUUAAAUUCUUUUUUACUUGAACGAGAUAAAGUUUUGCCUCGAGCAAAUAUAAUUAUCUCUGACGAGCUAUUUUGUCAAGGAAAGCCAUAUGAUUGCCCAUCGUCUUCUUUAUUCUUCCUCAUAAAGAAACCCUGGUCCGUAACGCACCAAAUGCGCUUACCUACCAGACAUGUAAUCCUGUAAGCACCCUUUAAUACGCUCCGCAGCAUCCAUUGUCGCACGAUCUUAACUUUUACGGAUUAUAAACUAUUUUUAUUUGGUAUUAGUGUUUUGUGCUCGUUACUUUGUCUACUUCUCUCGUGACCCCUGCUGCGCGUGCGAAAGACUGAACGUUUUUAUUCCGUAAAUCCGAUGAAAUGCCAGUUGUACCGCCGCCGAUGGUGCAAGCAUCGACGGGAAAGAAACUUCCCCACGGUCGACAAUUAAAAUAUUUGCUUGAUUUUUAACUCGGGACUUGACAAAGUUUUACGCUGAAUACACACAGAGAGAACUGUUUUUAUUGAAGCGUCUAAAAAUUCAGUUAUAGAUAUAAUGAUCUGAAAAUAAUUUGCUUGAACAUUAUAAUUAUUUUGACGAUCGAACAAAAUUAUUUUCAAAUCUGUAUUUAUAUAUAACAAAAUUUUUUAAUACGUUAGAAAAUCAUUUUUCCAUGCUGCAACUUUGAAAGAAAGAAAUCUGAAUCUGUCAAAAUUAUACAAAAUUUUUAUCUCACAGAUGUUUAACGAAAGAUAAAAAGUUGCUUUCGUAAUAAUCGCAUAUUUUAUAUUUAAUAAUGUCUCAUUAAUAAUUCUGUAAUUAAUAAUAUUAUAAAGUGUAAGGAUAUCCGCUAUCGUUUGAACAACAUUUUACAAACGACUGAUUCUCGCGUGUCGAGGCGCAAGUACGAACGUUAUGAACGGCCGUAAAAACUUUUUUGGCAAUAAAUAUCCUUCGGUGUGAGCUUUAUCACAUGUACCAGCAAAAAAAAAACAAUAUCGCGAACGCGUACAUCCCUUUUGCCUUGGACCGUGUCUGGGCGAUGCAUGGAUAAAGCUGAAUCCAUAAUUCCUCUUUCUCUUUUCCCUCUUGCGCGCACCAUCCGUAAUUAAUGAACACCGUGUAGAAUAGGGAGAAUUAUUGCACGCUUACGGGCGCGGGGUUCUUCUUUUAUGGAAAGACCAAGAUCGAAAUCGUGCCCACGGAUACAAGCAAAUUUAUGCUCGUUCUCGUAAUACGGAAAAAGGAAUGAAUUAUCGAAGUCGCGUGAUCGGCUACCGUGAUAAUUGAAUAGCGCGUUAUUUACCGACACCGAAAUUCGCGGCCAUCGUGGAAUUACAUAGUGCAUUCGCUUAAAUAAAUGGACCCUACCCUACGUUAAAGCUGUAUAAUUAAAAUAGGACACCGUUAAUUAUCUUAUCGGAAAAAAAUUGUUUUAAAUUACUUGAUUUUAAUCACAUAGUAUAAAAAAUAAAUCUUGUUCCUUAUUUAAUAUUAUAUAUAUAUAUAUUACAAGAAAAAAUAUACAAUAUUUGCAAUGGCAAUUUGCUGAAAAUAAAUUUAUUUAUUCAUUAGGAGCCGAAUAAUUUUUUGCAAGAUUUAUCGAAAAACAUUACGUCAAAGAAUUUGUAUUAUCGAUACUAUAUUUUUAAAAACGUCAUUUCACGGCAAACAAGUGGGGAGUGAUUUACAAAGUUGUAUCACGAAGGAGCAACAUCUUUCGAAGUCGAACGAUCAGCCUGAACGAUCUUCCCGGAAUGGAACACUGGAAGCGAACGUGGACAGCUGCAUCGUGGACCCCCCUUUGGACGGCGGGUCCCUACACGCGGUGUGGAUGAAACUACGACGUGUGCCAUCGAGAGCGCGGAAAUGCGCGCGGACAAAAACUAUGGAUCGCGCACAAUGGCCACAUUGUGACGGCGUGUAUCCACAAAAGGUGUCGAUCGAAGCGAGGACAGCCAGCAGCGCGGCCCCGUGCCAAAAAUCGGCUCGGAAAACCUGGCAAAACGUGCUCCAUCAUCUCACGUCGAAACGGGUAGCGUAAUAAAGGGACACCCGGUAGCCAAAUCGUGCCCGACAUUAUGUCGAUUCUUUCCUCUCCUUAAAUAGUUACAUUUAUAUAACAAAUGCGUAUCCUUUUCGCUACUAAGAGAAAAAAAGACUCGAAUCGGUUUCCAUCAUCCUUUAAUCGCAUAUUGCAUAAGUGAGAUUGAUAAGAUCGUUCGACCGUUUUACAUGCACGCAUACGACGCAUAGAGCACAGCCAAUCAAGGUAACAGGAAGAAAAAGAGAAGUAAUGGAUAAAUAACGAGAGACGUGUUAAAAACCCGACUGGGUAAUUGCGACGGUAAUCUCGGGCUCCUUUUGAAAAUUACAGAGGUUAAUGACGAGCGCGUUAAACGAUAUCGUGAAUUAAUUUCUAUUUAAUCAUACGCUCUUUCGCGCAAUAAGCGCACGACGUGCGUCCGGAGGCGGAGGGGAAAAAAUAAUUUGCGGAAAUAAGCGGCAUGCCGGCGCCUAAUCAGGAAAAUCUACUACGUCUGUAGGAGGAAAUGUCGCUACGCUCUCGCAAUUACAUUUCAUGGAAUACAUUUCCGAGCUCACACGUGGUGUGUGAUAUCACAGCGAUACGAUGAAACUGUUUCGUAGUUAUAUCUAUAUGGCUCCAUCUUACAAGUCUAGCUGUACAGAGAUGCAGAAAAGAUGCUCAAUUUUGCAGAGUGUCGUACCAAUUACAUUAAUGUAACACAUAAAGCGGGAGACAAUUAUUUUUGGUAAAGUGACAAAAACGCGUUACUAUUAUUCGCCAUUAAGUGAAAAUCGCAUUAAUUACGCACGUUGUGACGUAAAACCGGCUAGUCAUCGUACUUUUUUUUUUGCGCAACGCGCAAAUGACGAAACCGCGGCAAGAACUCGAUAACAUAAAUCCCGAAGCAACGAUCGGAAAAUCACCGGCGCGAAACUACCGCGCGGCCAGACCGCAGUCGAUUAAUCUAAGGAUGCGACUCCGUUUGCAACUUUAUCGCCGAUGUUGUGACUCACGACGAUCUUCGUCGCACGCUAUUGCACGAGUCACGAAUCCGCGAUGAGUCUAAGUGGACGAUCCUUGGUCACGGAAGAUCGCCCCGAGUAACCGCAAGAGAUCGAGAGAGAUACCUCCUCGGCUUGCUGUACACGAGAGCGCCGAGAGUGCUACCGAGAGUGCGAUCGUUGAGCGUGACGUUACGACUAACGACUCGCUCGGGGAAUUGAGAAUUGCAAUAUAAUGAACAAUAAGAGACUAAUGUUCGACAGUUUUGCUCUUUGAAAACGUAAUUGCGGACGGACAGAAUUAUACAGCUACUGCGGAGAGCGCCGCAGCGGCGAGAGGAUAAUGGAUGGACAAGAAAGUUCUCGUUGUCCGGGCGAGACUCUCUCCUCGAGUGCGCUAAUCGGGAGUGCGCACUCGGAAAAAUUGUCAAUGGCGCCACGGAUCGACGCGAUCCCCAUUCUGCCGCCCCUUAUUUAUAACGCAAACAAAGAUGACAAAGAGCCUGAUACGCUGCGCGCGGGGAUGCGCUCCCUCACGUCCUACGUUUCGCUAGUUCGAGGGAGAGACAGAGAGAGAGAGAGAGAGAGAAAAGAGCUUCUCACCUACCAUACUGUUACCGCCGCUAAUGCUACCGGACAACAAUGCGGCCGCGUCCACAUUGCACGCGUCCGACCGCUAAUUCCUCACGUUUUCUCUCACCCCUCCUGCUCCGAUACAUCACGGCAUUCUCGCCCUACGUCCCUACCCUCGAAUGAGAUCCGACUAUACACCAUCCUGGAAUUGGAUUUCAGGAGGCUGCUGUUGAGUUUUUGCGAACUAUACUCUCCAUCUGCCCGGCACGCUUCCGCGUCUCGCGUUUCGCAAAAUAAAGCCUGUACAUGUAGAAAAAAUACGGAAAAAAUUUUCUUAAGCAUUUUUCAAACGGGAAAUGCACUACGCAACAUAUUUAUUUAAACUUCUUACGAGAGUGUCAAAAACUGUAAUCGAAUACUUCAAACAUGGGAUUCGGAAUUCUCAUCGAACUGGAUUUCUCCUUAAAAAAAAAAUUUUACAUCAUCGCGAAAUAGUAUCGUUGAUAAAAAAAAAAUGAAGUGCAAGACAGCGAAAAGCAAAGCGUCCAGAAAGUGCGGAACAUCCAUGGAAGACCGUUGCGCUCACGAAAGCUUCUAUCGAUGCGAUGGAAAUGCAAAUCUUACGGCAAAUCCUCUUGAGGAUGGGCGCGUAAAAGAGAGGAGGAGAGAGAGCUGGCAAGUGUACGAAAUUGAGUUCCGGCGAGAGGAACUUGAACACUCCCCGGUAGUUUUCUUGCAGCGCAAGGUCGACUGUUUCUCGUUAUACUCGAAGAGGGUGGUAAGGCGUUUUGGAAAAUUAAAACCGUAUACAUUUUAUAAAUAAAAUUGCAGAGACGUAUUAUAUGAGGCAUUUAAUGUGUCUGGUACCAAUUAUUUUUCAUGUACUUUAAUUCAAUAAUAGCACUGAAUCGGCGAUAAAACGAAAAACAACGUAAACCUUUGUUACACCGAACACACAUUAGAGAUAAGAGUAUUCACGGUUUUCGAUUGCCCUCGUAAAGAGAAACGGAGAACCGAAGAAAACGAAAAAGAGGAACAGAAAAGAGGUGAACGCGCCCCUUUUUUUCCCGCAGGUAAAUAUUUCGUCGCUAUCGCGGUUUAGACGAUUUAAUGGACGGCCAUUAAAUUUGUCAGCAGGUUCCGCGCUCGGAAUUCGUGCUCGAUUCCCCCCGGGGGGUCAGCGGUCACCCCCCGCGGCCGAGCGGCGGGCCCGUUUAUCGCGCCACCCGGUACAUUCGGUAGCCGGGUAUGCCGAUAGUGUACCUGCAUCCGAGUGCUCGGAGGCCCUCUCUAUCUCUAUCUCUCCCCCGUUGGAAAUUUGCAUGGCAUUUACAUCCGAUUGCGGCGCAACGCAGGCUGAAAGCGACGAGCACGGUCGUGGCCGUGGUGGGAAGAGGAAGGGCGAGGGACGAAGGCCGAAGGGCGAAGAACGAAGGGAACCGAGGGGGUUGACCGGUCCCCUCCUCGCCGUGGAGAUCAGGGACGCGUAGGUGCACUUACGUCGGAAUUAGACAUUAUUUUAGCCACUUAACUCCGACGCGUGCACCGGCUACGUUUCAGCGACUCCUUCCGUCCAAUGAGCUGCGUUUCGCGCCCGGCUAAGUGCUGUUUACGAGACAGACGAGCGAAAGAGAACCCGAGGGGAGCCCUGUCCCGUUCAGUUGGGAAAAAGAUCGUUUGCUCUGUAAACGAUCCUGAUUUCUAUCCGAUGAAUGUUUAUGUAUGACUCGUCGAACGGCACGAGUGAGUUAUAGUGCAAACUGUAUUUUGGAACAAAAUAGAACUCACGGGUGCAUGAUAAACGGUUAACACUCUGUAUUCACGUUGAUUUUUUUAGGUAACUUCUCUACACAACACUUCCAAAUUAAUUGUCAUUAUUUUUACAAGAUUUAAAAAAAUCUGUAAUGAUUUUUGCAUACUUUAAUAUCUCUAGAAAAUAUUCGUAUGAUUGUUUAUUUUUUAAAAAUUAUGUAUAAAUGUUAUAACUACAGUGGUUUUAGUUUGUCAAAGAAAAGAAAUUUGCAGGACAAAAUUGUUAAAGCGUGCGUGUAGAAUGUUAAUACAAAAUUGUCACUUCACAUUUGCUUUGUGAUUUAACUAUCCUAUAUAUUUUAUAAAAAUCAAAUUAUAAAAGGUGGUUUUUUUGCGUUGCGUCAACAUUGUGAAACGUGAAUUUAGAAAUAAUGCACAAGAGAAAAAAAAAGAAAUCAAAUAAAAUAAAAAUCAUCAAUAUCGCCGGCUUACGAGAAACGUUGACACGUGAGUGAAAUUAAUAGAUGAUCGUAAAUUUCUGUCACGAGAUUCUACGCGAUCUCUCCGCAACUUGGUAAGAAUAUCAAUAAAUUCAUUAGACACAUACACGUGUGUCUGCAUCUUUCGCAAUUACUUUGCGUACGUUACAAGGUUUGCAAGGUCAUGUUCUCGGACGUACUUUGCGUGCGAUAAAGAUUACUCACAUCUUCUGAAUCCGUACGCGACAAUGUUGACUCAUCUCGGAUUAAAACAAAAUCUCUUCAAUUGAAAUUGCCAACUAAACCUUGUUCUAAUCUUAAUUUUAACUCAUUUCCGAAAAGAGUGACCAUCUACAUAAAUAAAAAGUUUGAAAAACGUCCUAAUGCUACAUCGAUUAAACGUUGAAAAAAGUUUCUCGGUAAAAUAAAUAACGCGGUAGCAGAAGCAUCCGCGAUAUCUUGUGUUGCACAUUUCGAUAUAACAAAGAAACAGGAAAGGAGACGCUGAAGAAGAUUAAACAUCAAUGUACGUUUCUAAAGAUUAAGGAACGACCCAAAUGUGGCAACAUGCACUCACACACACACACAGACAAAAAGUAUUCCUCGGGAUAUCCGAAUGAGUGCUCAAGGUAAAAUCGUAAGGUCAGGGUCAUAGGUGCAGUUACGUCGGAAUUGGACAUUAUUUUCAGCGAGUACCGGCCACUUAACUUAGGCGUGCGCGCGCGUACGCACGUAUGUGCGUGUCAUAGGUCCUAUUAUCGCGGCCACUUGGUGCCGGAAUGACGAUACUGUCUGUCCACUGUUAAAGUUCGUACUCUGCGCGCGCGAGAGAGAAAGAGAGGAAAUACAAUAGUACGACUCGACCUAUUUUAGACCGCUGGAUAUGAAAUCAACUCUUUUACAACUCGGUUUUAUUCAAACUUUGAAAAAUGUCUUCUUGCAAUCGGAUAUUAUACAUGUUGCACUUUUGAAAAAUUCUACAAUCAUCACUUGCUGUGGGGAAUAUUUUACAAAUUCGCGAUCCUCAUCACGAAAGAGACUUGCCAGGUAAAAUACAGUAGAAAAAGAAGUUUUCUAAAUAAACGUAUAACGCGUAAUGACAAGUCGUGCGUAACGUGUGUAUUUUUUAAAAAUUAGCUCGGCUUCCAUCCAGAACCGGAAUCCGAACUAUCCUCUCUGACCGUGCCGUAGUAAUAUUUUUCUACUUCGUAUACCUCUAUUCUUCCCUUUUCCCUUCGGCACCGAAGGAAUUCUAGCGACGAGCAACAGGCCGAUUGUAAAACGUGUUGGCUGCUGACGCAGCAGACGUAAUGUCAUAAAGGCAAAUCCGCUACGAGCCGUUGAUGGUGACAAGCGAUCUUGCAUGCGAAACGCACAUUAUAUAACUUCGGACACAAAAAAUCGAACGGCAAUUACCGAGACACCAAUUUUGCUAAAAACAAAAUUGAAAGGGGAGCGGGGGCAGGUACAGGUACCUCGGCGUAAUCGGCGAGGAAAGGCGCGUUUCUCGCUUCUGGCCGUCCGGAUCCGCGAGUCAAAACGGAGUGAAAGGGGAACGCAACGGUAAGUCGAUCGGAGCAUCGAUAAAAUUGAGAAUGCACGCGGUCUGCCGCUUUUAAUGAAUGAACGUCUCGUGAAUAUAGUAAAGAGAACGGGGAGGGAGGACGAAAGGGGCCCCACGAGGGCGGGGUGGGCGAGGAGGGAUACGAAGAACGGCGAGAUACGGGAAGGGGGACGAGUAUAUGUGCACGCAGUACACGCUCGCGUGUAUACGCACACGCACGACGGAGUUUAACGUUUGUGUGUAACGUAGCCGGAACGGCGGCGGCGGCGGCGGCGCGGAGAUCUACAUAAUGUUUAUUAUGCUAACCUAGGCCAACGCGGUUGCAUCAACAAGUGUUAUAUUAUCAUUCAAAUAAAAUGUUUUAAUCUGCAUACGUUUUAUCGCCCUCCCGCGGGCAUGCGGAAUGCACCGCCGGCACGAGACACGCGUUCCACGGUGGACACGCGCCCGUCGUUUGGCUCUUUUAAGCGUCCGGCCGAGCGUGCCUCGAGCGGAAUUCCUUCCGGGGCGGCUUCUCUUUCGAUGCCGAUUCUCGGACGGGAAAGCGACCUCGAGAAAAUUGAUGGAAAUUGUCCCCGAUAUAUUACCCCGGCCAUUUAACCGGCAACUAUACAAAAAAAUGGAACUCUUAAUUUUUCAUCCCUUUUAUACUUCACCGUCGUUCGUUUUGUCGCUGUUUCUUUUUUGUUUGCCGUUUCUUUUCAUUUUUUUGUACACACUCCCGAUACGAUGUAAUCAUAUUUUAGAUAAUAAAUUCUUUGCUUUAAUGCUUCGUAUUAUAUCAAAAUUGUUGAAUAAAACGCGAGCCGUAUUUCUAAGUUUUCCUCAGUCGGCAUAUUAAAAACACAUAAGUCAAAAUGAUCGUUCUCAGGAGGCACCAAAAGCAGGAGCAGGCGAAACUGACGACCUCGAGGGGUACGGCGGAGUGUUCUCCAAACUGUACGAGAUAUUGUAUUCAGAAUUGGUCACUCAGAGACACUUUAUCAUCGUCCCGGGGCAAAACGGGGCCUCCCGAAGGCAAAAACUUCGCGACAGAUUUUUCGAUUAGACGGAAAGAAGUCCGGCGAGAUUUGCGAAAAAGUUUUCUAAGGAGAGCGGAGCUCUAAUCUGAAUGCGUUUUAUCGGUCCCACGGGUCGCGUCCCGCGCGGAACACACGCGAAAGUUCCGCGUUCCGGCGUGCGGCACGCGAGUGCGUGCACGUGCCGCCGUACGAUUAAAGAUCGCGAGCUCGUGCGUCGAAAUGUGUAAAAAAAAAAAAAAAGAAGCGGCGACCUGUGACCGCCGGUUUCGUCCACGAUUUGCAGCGUGACGACACGAAUCCGUGUGACACAUAAUUUAAUUAAUGAUUCGCAUGCUCGGCGACGACUGCGCUGCGCAAGAGCGACCCGAGAGAAAGAAAGGAAAAAAAAAGGACAGGCGAAAGGAUUCGAAUGCACGCGCGAUCAAUCACGCGAUCAACAAUCCGUAUCGUGACGCAAUAAAAAGAACGGGAAAAUGAGAACGCGCUCUGCGCAGCAGAAUUUUCCUGCAUAAAUGACAAUUUACGAAAGUUUAGUUUGAUAUACCUUUUAUUUUCUAUAUUGUCCCGAAAAUAAUCCGGAGUAAUUUUCAAUCAAGCGCCAACGAUUCCAGUAUUAUUUUUUAAUCGCACGUGUUCACGAAGGUACGUCGAGCACCAUACAGAGCUUUGCGUGCAAAUUGGCUGACGCGACGUAGAGAAGUCAUCGCGCGAUCACUGGUAUCGCAGCAACCGGGGAGAGAAAGAGAGAGAGAGAGAGAGAGAGAGUAUUGCAAAGUAGACUCUCUCAUCUCUUCCCUAUCUCACUUGCGGCUGAUCCGGUAAUCAUCCUACUUAUGCCUCGGUCUCUCUGUAUAUCUGUCUCGACCUCUCUCUCUCUCUCUCUCUCUUUCUCUCUGUCUCGCCGCCGGUUUCGUCCCGCUCCCCAUGGGCCAUUCGCGCGACGAUCGGGGUGGGAUCUUUCCGUGCCACCUGUGUGUCUUCAUUAUUCAGCAAUGCAAAUAGAUUGCUGGCGCAUUACCAUAAUUAGAUUCAAUAUUUGUAGCUUGUCACGCCGUUACUAUAAUUCAUCAGGGCGCGCGCGUCUAUCUGGCGAUUUGUCAGCCCGAUCUCGCCCCGCGGGCGAAAAAUGCAUGAUUAAUACCCGCGGCGCGGGUGAAACUGGCACGAUCAUCUUCCGUUCGGAAUUCCUCGCUACCGCGAAUCGCAACACCUCGCGAACGUAGCCAAAUAGACUCCAACCAACAAUGAGAUAUAUGGAUGUAUGUCAGCGUACGUAAUACGAAUGAGUUUCGGACAGUCGUAAAAAACGUGACGGGGCAAAUUAAUUCCCCGGGGCAUCGAAAAAGCCGAUCUGCAUGGUAUAUGACUAAUUGCCGCUGUCGUUUAGAUAAGUGAUUGGCAACAUCGAUAUCGGGUAACUACGUUACGUCGAGAUCCUGAGCUAAAAUGAUAUCUCCGCCAAAAAGUCGCGGCGACGUCUGUUUCGUUCAGGAGAGAUUCCAAUUUUAACGUCAAUUCCUUUUUUAAAGCGACAGAUAUAUUUAGACACAAGCUUUCCAGUUGUAAAUGAGAAAUUAGCCGUUAAAUGAAAUUUUCAUAUUUGUUGCGUGGUCUUAUAAGCACCGGGCUAACACCCACUGAAAAUCCAUAAUCAUAACGCAGUGACACUCAUAAAUAAUUCAGGACAAACUUUGCCAGCGCACGAGAAAAAUGCAGAAACUGGUCUCGACACACCGAUAUCUGUGUUUUGACCCCAGCUUUGCCGAAGGCCACUGUAACGUAAUAACUUAUCGUGAAUGCUUUUCAACGCAAAACGCAGCCUCUCGGAGAGUAUGUAGCUUUGCAAUCGCGAAGGUCAGCGACGACGGUACGCGAGUAUUCUCAGUUAAACGAUAAGCCAACGAUUUACGUAUUUAUUGAUUACGAUAAUAAGAAUCUUUUUUUCUUCGGUAUUAUCUGGUCCGUAUGAAUGGCAAGGAGAGAAGAGAGAGAGAGAGAGAGAGAGGGAGAGAGACAGAGAGAAGAAGAGAGAAUAUCAUAAGGGAAAAAUUGGUAGAUUUGUCGCGUCACGCGCGAUUGUCGCGUUAGCAUUUGACGUUCGUGAUUCCGUAACUUCUGACUCCCGACUGUAUGUCAAUACACGUCGCGAAAUUAUCGCAUAAAAGCUUCUUCAUUAUUUUUAGGCAUCACGCAUACGUACAAACACACACGCACGUUACACAUACACGUACACCGGUAAUUCCAGCUGUCUUGCGGCUGACGAAUAUGGGUCGCGUUUAUGUCACGGCGUGUCAGCUUGUCAUUACACGUUUCGCGUACGGAGUGCAUUUCGCGAAGUCUAGAGAUGCAUUUGCGACGUAUGACGCAGCCACAGCGCGCUCGGAAGUAACUAAAAACGAUUUUCCGAAUACACCCGUCUAAUCGGACUUAACGCGGUUUCGCAAACAUAGCCCGCGAGACAAAUUACUUUUGACGUAUAUUAAAAGGUGUACAAGGAGGUAGGCGAUCGUGCGUCGAUGUUGACGUAGGAAACGCGUUUCGCGUUAGGGAGCGUUUCUUAAAUUACUUGAAAAGCAAAUUUCUGCGUUGGUUCCACAUAGCCUUUUCCGAACGAAUGUUUUCGGGUUAGUCAGUAGACCGCGAUGGACGUUUGCCCUCAAUUAACUUUAUAAGUGAGUAAGGAGGCGUGCGCCCGACCGUCCGUCCGUCCGUCAGUUCGUUCGUAUCUCCAUUGCAUGCGAUGUUCAUUCUAACAAGUGCCAAAUCUCACCACCGAGUGUUGGGCAUUUUUAUUGGGGUGUAAUGGAGCCACGGAAGAGCGGCGGAACUCGCGGGACGCACGCUCCAAGAUCAUUUGCACGGAACGCUACAUUCCAUUUUAGCGCACGUGCAUCCUUUCAAGGACGGUAGAUACAUAAUAUUAAGGUAGAACGCGUCACGGCAUUCUUCGAAAUCAAUAAGUUAAAAAACAUGUAAAUGUAUAUUGUAAGGCAAUGAAAAUAUAUGAUGUAAUUGUGGCAAAGCUGUACUUACUAUUUCAUAAAUAUACCAGUGUUCAUACACGUCAAUCCAAAUAGACUGGUAAUCACUACUUUUCAAUAUAAUCCUUUUCAAGAGGUGACGGAUACACGUGUAAAGAGUCUCGGAAAGGUUGGAAGUCAACUCUAGAUGCCUAAUUGAUUGUCUCGGCUGGGAGAUGUCGAGAUAAUCCCUCAAAAUAAAACAUGGGCGUACCAAGAGACCUUGGUAAAGAGGUGAUAUCGCCGAUCUACACGGGUCGCGUCGCGGAGAGGUCGCCCCACGUUGCUCCCACGCUCCGCGGCGGUUCGACAAAUGCGCCGGUCCCGUCGUUUCCGCGACCGAGCGGUGCGUUUCCGCGGGCAGUGUAAGGUAACGCGGGCAUAAGUCAAACGUGCGUCGGCGGAACCCGACGUGAUCUCGGCUACCUAAAAGAGUAGUCUCUCUUCUCUCUCUCUCGAGGGACGUUCAAUCUUUAUCUCCGGCGGCGGCUCGUACGUGCGUAAGCGUGCGGACGCACGCACGCACGCACGCAUGCACGUUUUCGUAGCUACGUAGCUACGCCACGCAUGCAUGGGCGAACGAAAAAAAUCGCGACGUACACGGAUAAGCCCGCCCACGCGAGCGUGUACCGUACAAGAGAUGUGCCGCGUUCGCCGGUGACGUGCGUGUGCACACACGUUGCACACGUGUACACGCACGUAGACGAGACACCGUGGACGUACAGGUGUACGUUUCACGAGCGCAUGCGUAGGCUCGUUUACUUAGCCAAUGCCAUAGCUGAGUUAUUUAUCUGUCUUUUGCCCGGCAGCGCCAGUCGAGAAUGCCUCUAUAUACGAGCCAACACUCCUAGAGAGUCGUAUAUGCGCGUGGGUCCCCCGAGUCUUUUUUUUUUCUCUUCUGUUCAAGGCCUACCUGGUUAUGUUGCUGUCGGACGCACGAUCGGUUCUCUCCUUUCCUUCUUACGCUACGUGUCCGUCUCUCGAUCUCUACGUUUGUCUCCGUCACCUCGGUCUCUCCCCCGUUUCUUAUCCCUUUCCUCUCUCUCUCUUUCUCUCUUGGUCGCCGUUUCGCCGGGACCACUGCGCGAUCUUAUGAGAAAAUAAAAAGAAAACAGAAAAUCGACGAAAAAAGAAUGGUCGAGAGGUGAACAAGGUUGGCAUAAGGACGAUCCCGAGGAAUCUCCCGCAAAGUGGAUCCGGUACUUAACAUCGACGAGUUCGCGCGUCCCAAGGGUCUCGAGUGGGACCGAGAAGAGAUCGUUAGAACGGUGAUGUCGUUUCACGUUGACGUGUUUUCGAUCACGAGCCAAUGUUGAAUUCGCGAAAUCAAACGUCAACAAAAAUCCGUGGAGAUGGACGUCGGGACAAUUAUAUGCUUAUUGAAAUUCCACGACUCGAUCUGUAAUUGUAAAUUUUUUACCAAGUCAAUUUCGAGGUGUAAUCCGCGUAAACGCUGUAGAAAAAGACAUACCAUUUUCUACCGCUCGAUUCAAACGCGAAUCAAUCGUGUUUCGUCGAUUUAAUCGCGGGGCUGUGCGAUUCCCUGGAGCCAAGCAGGAAGUCGCGAUGAAAAAUUCGGUGCGGAGAUACGUAAACGAUGGAUGAGGUCUCGCGUACGCGGCUCACGCUCGCUCUCCGUAGCCGGAUUGUUGAGUGACGUCAGCGUCACCGGAAAUGGAAUGUAGGUAGCGAUGCUUAUUAAGCUUCAGAACGCGAGAGAGGGAACUACAACGAGAGAGAGAGAGAGAGAGAGAGAGAGAGAGAGAGAGAGAAGCAAAAAGAGAGCGGGAGAGAUAGAGAAAGAGAGCUCGACGGAACAAUCAGUCAAAGGGAGAGAAAGAGGUCUCCAGAGAGAAAAACGGAGAGAGGGAAGGAUGACGUUCAAUUGUUUCCUUCGCACACGCGUGCCACCGCGUAUGCACGUAGGUACGUACCUACGUCCGUUCGCAUAAAGAAGACGGCGAUGCGCUGCGAAGAUCCUAGUGUGGGCAUCGGCUAUUAAAUCAAUGCGCUGGUGUCAGGAUCUGUUCACGCCUCGCUAAUACACUCGUGGAAUGUCAACGAGGCGACUACCUUGAGAGAAGGAGGCUGCCGCCGCGGCUCUGUUGCUGCAGCCUGGGAAAUCUCGAGGCGAGCUAUAAGGGCAAGAGAUGAGGCAUUGAAUAAUGCAUCAGAUGCUUAGUUUGCCCAUGGGGAAGCCGCAGCAGGAAGCGAACGCAGGCAAUGAAAUCGACGGGCUGUUUCGCAGCCGCGCGAUCAUACUCUUUCGCCUUUAACGGCCGUAAAAAUAAGCGCGACAUAAACCGCGAACAAUGCGUGUAAAAACCGAUUGUAAAAAUACCCUCGCGCGCGCGAGACGCGGGAACGGACAAGAGCGGUCUCUUCUGUGCGACUUUUUCACCGCCGCGCCGCGAAAAGCAGAAAAUUAUUAUAUCUCCGAAUAGAUUCGGCGGGUUGUAAAAAGAAAACGGACGAAGGUAAGUACGGCUUACUCGGACGAGAUUUACGAGACAAACGCACGCGUGUUCGGAAUAUAACGGUCAGUCAUAUUCCGUGUCAUUUGAGACGCGUGUCGUUGGAGAAAGGUGGGUUAAAGAGCUUCAAAACCGUUAAACACAAUUGGGCAAUCGUUGGAAGAAACGAGCUGAUAUGUACACUUGUCCCAUUAUAUACAUUAAUGAUAACAUCUUUAUCAGGUCCUCUUAUGUCUGCUAAUUUUGCGGCGGAAAAUUAAUAAUUAAGGCAGAUUAUAAAGCAGGAAAACACGUCAAAUAUAUAAAAUGUACUGUUUCAGAAUAGUAACACGUAGCUUUUUCUCUCUGUCUCUCUCUCUCUCUCUCUCUCUUUCUAAAACCAGAAAACUAUUUGCAUCAACUGUUCAAGAAUAAUUGACUCCAGAUAAUUUGACAAUCGAUUCAGGAAUCUCAUUAUAGAUGAUCUGUGUAUUAUAAUCAGUAUUCCUACUAGAAUUAAUUUCUUAUCGGGUUUAAUCAAUUUGCACGCUGUAUUCUAAGCAAGAUGUCAUCUGUUUGUGACAAUUUGCAUCCCAUGAUCUAUUAUUCAUCGAAUUGAAUUCGCGCGUUUUGGUAACUGUACACAGCGAUUAUUUCUGACUAAUCGAUAACAGUAUAUCACGGAAUAUCGUAUAGACGUGAUAUUUUCGCCGCAUAAAAAGACUCUCCCUCGUCCCGAUUAUCCGAUUUGACGUGGAAAAAUUGGACCAAACGUGGUAUACCUCCAAUUAAUUCACGAUCGCGUAAAAUAAUCGCACGUAGAAAUAGCACAGACAAGCUGUCGAAAUCGGGCGAUGUGCGCCGAUCUAAAUAUUUUGCGUUCUGGAUUUAGCGUGUCGCGCCAACCAAUAAUUUCAGCGAGGAGCAUCAGCGUGAGAUCACCUGUGACACAAUAAACGUCGACAUACUGAUUGCGAUAACAGAAUCUUGUUACGCUAAAUCGAGGAUGAUUUCGGCUGCGAUAAUAUUUUAUUAUUUGCCCUCCGAGUAUGGUGAGCAAUUAGUUUCAUCAGACUCUCAUAAUUAUCCUCGCAACGAAAGCAGACAGGAGAAAAACAUGAUCAUGAGAAUGUAUGAUUAAACGUCAAUCGACGAAAUUGCCGCGUAAAUAUGUGCAAAAUAUUUGAAAUAUUCGUCGGCAGAAAACAUUAGGUAGAUUUUUCAUUCUAAAGUCAAAUCGCUAAUUACGAAGUGAAGCAUUAAUUUCAUCGUCUUACGAGAGAGAGAGCUUUAUUUUUAAUUAUAAUAAAAAUUCUAGGUAAACGUAUUCAUUUUUCUUUUCGUUUAAAGUUGCUAUUUCUUUUUUAUUUAACUUUUUAAUCAAUUGUAUAACUCUUAUGUUGAUUCCGGUUUGUUAAUUGAUCGAGCUAUUUGUGCGACGUUUACGAGAUAAAGAAAGAUUGAAACGAAUAAUAAAUAUAACGAUAUUCCAAGAUCUCUCGAUCAGACGCUUUAAUAGCUUAAUUACGAGAGCAGCGAGACCAGCCACAGAAUUCUUUUGACGGUAAACAGUAAUUAAACAUCAAAUCUAAAUCAAAAAGAGAGAUAUGUGUUAAUUGUUAUUGACUGAAGCCAGUGUUAGAGCCUUUUUUGUUUCUGAUUGCAUCACUCGACUCGGGCAAUAAAAUCCCUGGGAGGAGGCGACUGCUUCUUCAAGGUAAAACGUGCCACGAUAUUCGAUUUCGCGAUAAGCAACAACGACACGAGCCUUCGAUGCGUAACCGUAGGCGUAGCGAGAAACACCUUCGAAGUCAGCUCCGAUGCGCGCUCGAUGAUGAGCAAACACCAAGCUCUCGCUGGAAUCUCACGAACGUUAGAGCAAUGUUUUCCAACCUUCUUUGCGUAAUGGACUGCUUCUAAAUGAUAAAACAAUUUGCGGAGCACAAAGCACAUACAUACGUUAAAUAAAUAUAUAUAAAGCGCGGGUAUAUAUACUAAGGCAUUAAUGUUAUAACAAAAAAAAUCAUGGAAAGUUAUUAAUUAACUAUAUGAAAUAAUUAUUAAAAAGAUAAGAAAGAGUUGAUGAAAGAGCGAUCACCUAUAUCAAUCGAUGAGACUUUUAGAUAUAUGCGUAUCGCAUACAUGUAGUUCUAAUUAUCUAAUCCACUAUUAAUUAAUUUCAGACCGCAAUAUGUAACGCAAUUAAAAAUCCCGACUCGCUCGCGAGAGAUCGUUUCUCGAUUGUUUGGAGUGAAUUGAACAAUAUAUCUUUAUCAACGAUACUAAGAACAUAUCCAUCCCAGAUUAUCAUAAACGUUUAAUGGAUUUCACUAGCGCACCACUAGCUCAAGCGUUUUUUUUUUCUGCAGAGCGCGAUUAUCCCGCUUGUCACUUGGCCGUCACGGCAAUUUCGUCAUAUCGUGUGAUAAUUGCACGCGACGCGAUGCACGAGAGAAUAAUCGAGCGAUCGGGCGAGGUAUCUCUCGCCGUCGAUCGACAAACAGAGCCCGGACUUCGUUCGUGGAAGCGAGAGACAAUCGCGAGGAAAAGGUCUCUUGGAUAUGAAGAGAGUUAUUCAGUCGUUCGAUCGAUUAUGCGUGCGAAUACACAUUUUUCGUCGUUUCUUCACGUCGCUCACGUUGUUCAUUAAGCUCUUAAUUAAUACAAUGAAAGACUUCAAUAUCAUCACGAUUAAGUCGCGCGAAUGAACUUUUACCGUAAUUAUUCAUGGAUACAUCACGGAUGGAAAUGAGAGACGCGAGAGUAAAAGUGUUCGCCCACGAGGAUCCAACGGGGGGAAAAAAAAGAUUUUAAAGACCUCGAGGAGUUUCAGGUUUAUCCCUUGUGAAAUAAGAAAAUCCUACGGAAACCAUAGUUAUUAUUAGAAACGAACGGACAACUCUGAUUUUGCUUAGUCAUGUGACACGUAAAAAUAUUCUUUUUUUAAAUAAAAUUUAUCAUAUUCGCUACGGCUUUCUAAUCGCUUGAAAAUCUACUGACCUUAUCUGAUACGUGCAAUGGCCUUAUCGAACGAGAAAAUGUAUUACGCAGAUUGCGAGUAAUGAUCAAAAAACCAAAAUAGGAAUAUCGCACUUUCGCAUUUAUUUGAACAAUCAACAUUAUGGUACAACAAGAAGUAAUUUACAAGGGGGAACCGUAAGGACGAUUCUAUUCUCACGACACUAACGCACAUAGAAUAUAUUGACGAGGUAGAGAGAGGUGAGAAUUUCUCGACCAUAGGUGACGAUAAUCCGGCAAAAUAAAGCAAAACGCCAGGUGUAUGUUGCACAUUACUUUCAUGUCAUUUAUUAAUCGAAAUUCAAUAGUAAUUUAGUUCUUCGUCGCUUCUAACAAAAUGCAUUCACCAUCACUCGCCAGAUCUUUAUUUUUACGUUAAUAUAAUAAUUAAGAUUUAAUUAUAUUAUAAUAAUAUACAGCAUGGGGAAAGAUGAGCAGAGGGGAAAAAAGAAUCGUUUACAGAUGCGUAUCGUUUAACGGUUUCGUGUAUACGUGUAUCUCUAGGUGUAGCUUUACAUGUCUUUCUGUCGCCUCUCUCUCGUUUGCAUAUCGCUUAUAAUUCGCAACAUCCACAACGCGUUGAUAUUUCAAGAAAAAAAAAAAUCGCGUAAUCGUGGCACGAAAUCGGCAUAAUUUUCAUUUCGAUUGUCACAAACAUGAAAAUGAUUUUAUAUACAAGAGAACGGUAAUACGCGAAAUAUAAAUACAAAAUAUUCAGAAGAAUAUGUACUUUUCAAAUCCAAACUAGAAAUUUAAAAAAAUACAAAUAUAACAUAGCGUUUGAAAGAUAUAUUUCUUAGCUAUUUGUUAGCUAGUUUAAAUAUUGUAUGUACAUACGCAUAUAUAUCUGUACUUAUAUAUAUGUAUAAAUUUUAUAUAUAUCUAUACACAACAGAAUUUCGUUUAUCCGCAUAUAUCAAGAGACAAGUUCCGAUAACACUAAAAAAAAUUUACAAUAAAUAAUAAACGUUCAUUAACCGUCUUCAUUUAUUAGUUUUGAUAAUCUCAGCAAAAUCAAAUCAAACACGUCGAGCUCUUAUUACCCGAAAUAUUGAAAUAAUAAUAGCUCAACUAUCGGUUCGUGUAUUUUGAACUUUAGGUAAAAAUUUAUUCAUAUAAAUGGAUAAACGGAGUUCUACUGUAUACAUAACGUGUAUGUUACAUUACUUACACACAUACGUGUACAUAAUGUAACGCAUGAUGUAUAUAUCAUAUACGUAUCACUGCAUGUGUAAUAUACGUGUACACACAAGAUAAAAUUGUCGUAUGUAUCGAAAUUAUACCGAUUUCACUCUCCACGCGAGUUAGAACGCGAAUCGAAGAAGUGCGGUUGUUUCGCGAAAUCACGAUUAUUGUCAACUUCACAGAGAGGAAGGAAAAAAGAAACGUACCUCGGAACAUGGUCCAAUUAGCAAUUGUCCAAUUUCGCGUUUGCGCGCGUCGAUUCGCCCGGAAAAGGAUUUCCUUAAUUUUCUUAACGAACAACCGCGCUCCUCGACCUCCAUACGUCCGAACACGUUCGCUAGCAAUCGCACGAUGCCACGAUCGCAACAAUUAACAUUGAUUUUCUACCAAUCGCACGCCGUACACGGUCGCACUCGUACCUUUUUUUCGCUCGCUUUGCGCUCCUUUCUUCCGUUUCUCUAGUUUUUUUUUGCAUUUACAAAAAAAAAUAAUGUCGAAUUUUUUUGGCGCAGCGUCUCAUUCAUCGUUUCGCAAUUUCGCAUCAGAGUCUCCCUCGCUCUUGUCUCGGCGCCCGAAAAAACGAACGGUUCGAUUUGUUCAGCCAAUAAAAUCACCCAGCGCGAUCAAUCACCGUUAAUUUCGAUCCCGGGGACGCCCAUUCUUUUUGCGUGAGAGUUAAAUUAUAAGCGUCCGUCGCUCUCGCAACGAUUCGCAAUCGCGCAUCCGAUGCCGAUGGGUAAAGUCGUUUGUCGAUACAACAAAAUCACUUUGCCAGCCACGUAUUUGCCUCCCUCACUCUUUCAUUCCUCCCACCCCCUCCUUCUCUCUCAAAUCAAAUAAUAACAAAACAAAAUAUUGUAAGAUGUUCCCAAAUUUCAAUUUGGUAGAUUGUGCUUUUUUUGACUCUUGCGAAAGUAUUUAAACAUAGCGGUAGAUGAUCCAUUGGCUCAACAAAUCCUCUCUCGCACAUUACGCGUGCAUUCGUCUCUUUUUCUCUUCCUCGUCUCUCGCUUUCUUUUGUUUGUGUGUGUAUAUUUUAUGUGUGUGAGGGUGUGUGUGCCUUUCUUUGUCAUUUUCAUUAAAAAAUAAUAACAGAAACUAGCAUGCAAUAACAAAUGGCGAUUAAACUUAAAUAUCGCGCUUAUAUCACAUACAACUCUCCGUUAACGCCUCCGUUAACGCGUAUUCUAUACGAUUUGUAACGCGACGCAUUGUUAUAAUAAUAGGCGUUUAAUUAACUAAUGCGAAAAGUUUGUAGCCGAUGCGCCUCUCGGAAAAAGAUUCCUCUAACAAUAUUCGUUUUGCUAACAGCUUUUUAUGCAACAAUAAAAAAGAUCACAUCAUAAAAUCAACGUACAGUGCAAUCUCCACAGCGCGGAAUUCAUAAUUCACGAGCGUCAAUUGAAUUAUGCGGAACAGUGUAUAAAAAAUAUACAUAUGUAUAUGCAAAUGGCGCAAGUGAAAUCUUUUGAAUCAUUUUAAUAAUGAGCGUCGCGUGUCAAUUCGCAACUACAGGAUUUAUAAGCAUACUUUUUUACGCCAUACAGAUCAAUUUGCAGCAUUUUUCAAUUAAAUUCCGCAACAGUAAUCAUUUAUUCAUUUCAUUAAAAUGAUCGAGAUUGCACUUCUCGUCGUAAAAACAGGUACUGACAAAGAUAUCAAUGUUUUCAUCGAUAUUUUUAAAUCAACAUCGAGUUUGAAUGACAAUGCGUAUGAAAACAUCGUUUAUGAAAAGUGCCUUUGUCAAUAUAACCAGUAAAAAUUUCUCCAAUGGAACAAUUACUUUUGGGUAAGUUUGAUCCUCACGAAGAGUGAAUAAACUCGAUGAAGUCAAAGAUAUGUUUGACAUAUUGAAUACAUCGUGCUAAUCGAGGAAAUGUGAAAAGAAUACGGCGAUAAGCAUCGGCGGCCAAUUGAGCAAAUAAUCACAGAAGCUAUGUGUAUGACUGAUAAUAACGCAUGUGUAAUUGCUGUAAUUACUAUUAUAUGUAAUAUAUAGCAGAGCUGCUAUUUUGAGCAGAUAGCAAUGCGUUAAUAAAUAUAAAAGAUGAGCUUUCCAUUUUAAAAUGAAAGAAAAGUCUAUUAACAUCACAAAAUUCAGAAAUAUCUCCGUACAUGCUUAGCUAAAUUUCCGAGAUUUGAGCCGAAUUUAAUUCUUCCCAAGUGGAGUCUAAAAUUUUUAUGUAACGCGAAAUUGCUAUAAUCCACGACGCGCGUACAUUUAUUUGAAUUCCGUCGUUCGCAGAAGAACAAAUGUUUGUACUGUGAAUCAUGUAUUAUUGAAGCGAAGAGCAAGUGCGACUUCCAGUUGACGAGCCAAAGAGCUGCAUAAGAUUUACAUUUCUCUAGAUAUAUUUUAUAGCUGGUGGUCUUCCGAACUGAUUGUCAGUCUGCGAAACACUAAUCAUGUGGAUAAAGGAGGUUGUUUAGGAGAAAAUAUCGUGAUACACACGAGGCUGAUGGAAGACAUUAGUGCGAGCUUAACGACAGGCAUAAUGCUUGAAAUUUCUCGGAGCGAACCUGCGGGAAUGGAUAUGUUUCUAUUACGCCGGUAUCGGUAAAUGGACCUAACAAGGAUUUGAUUCGUUCUCGACGACGGCGCGGCGAUUACGUCAAAGAAGGACGUCUGUAUUCCAACGAGCGAGGAGGCUAACGAGCGUUGCUAAUGCGGGAAGGACACUAUCCUCUCGCAGGAGGAUGGACAGCCUAAUAUCGGAGCUCAUAAAAUUCCGAAGCUCGUCUCGUAGGCAAAUAUGCCUUCUACCGAUCUACCGCGAUAGUCACAGAUAAGACCUUAAAGCGUUCGCACGAUAGUACGAAGGGCGGAUACACGUUAACUGAUUUGUUAGGAAAUGUUAAUCCGUAAAGGGGAAACGCAUGUGUGCUACGAUCGAUCGUAAUGAAUGAGCUAGACUUUCAAGGUCGCGGUGCAGUGAGAACAUGGACUAUCAGCGCGCAAACGUGCGACUCGCGGACUUGGAGUGACUCCGUUCGAUUUUUUUUUCUUUUUUAAUAUAAAAUUUGUCGUUAUACCAGAAAUUCCUUCGCCAAGUAAUCAUCAAUUUCGCAAAUGUUCACGUUCACGAAACGAAAUGAAAAUAUUCCACGAUUUCCACGUAUCCCGCAAUGAAACGCUCAAGUUUUCUAUAAAUAGUGGGUGCUGAGGACUAGAUUCACUUGAUAAACACGUUCGAGAAUGUAGUAUCACGUCGCGUAGACGCGCAACGGCUAAAUCUUGCUAGGCGCAGGAGCCUCGCCGAGAGGGUUGGGCCCAAUAUAAACCGUGCCAUUACCGAAACGUCCAAGUAUUACGGAAAUGAAUGGCCCCGCGAUGCGUUAAGCGCAUUAUAACGAUCAAAAAUUACGAUGAUUAGCGGGUCGCGCGGUGGCCGGGUCCCGUCCGUAAAGUCGCCCGGGCACACGGUGAGGGGCCUCCUUAUUAAAGCCCCGUGACGCGCUGCUCGCCAACGGAAGGAUCGCGUCCCCAUAAAAAUCUCUCUCUCUUCCCAAAUUGGGCCGUGAAUUACAAGCCGCGGCCCCGGCGCGCGUUUGCGCCCCUAAACGACUCUUUUAGCCCGGCAAGUAGAUACUGUAGGCGCUAUUAACGCGCCGGGCAGUUUAUACACACCUAAUGCACCGUUUAUGCGGCCCCGGUCGGGUGCCAGACGCAAGUACGACUCCGCGGAAGUGUAUAAAUUACCGUCGGCAUUUCGGUAAAUACGCGUAAUGUCAACGCGUAAUGGUUCGGGCAUUAAUAGACGGUGACGAACCACCGGGUUCGUUGAACCACUCAAAUAAGAACGCGGCCGCCAGGUAUAUGUGCUUUUUUUUUUGCGAUGACCCGACUUGUAAUGCGCCGCUAGUACUGUCAUGAUCCUCCUGUCAUUCCGGCCAUGGAAUAUAAAUCGUGCGAUUAUAACAACAAUUUCCUAAACGCAAUAUCGCGUCAUUUCGCAUGCCAAAGUACAUUGCGAUAAUAGAAUCGUAAAAAAAAAAAAAGAAAGAUGAGAAAAUUGUACAAAUGACGAUUUCGUCGUUGAUGUCCAACUUUCGCAAGCAGCAUGCGAAAUCGAAGUCAUGCGGCAAGAUGCAAAGCUUGCUCGCAAAGCCGGCAAGUCAGAAUCUCUUAUCCGGGAUUUUUUUUAUUUAACGCUCGGCGAAAUUGAUCGAAUGUUAACAAACAACGACCGCGGAAAGCAGCAGCAACAGCAGCACCUGCGUACGUGCUGGUACAAUUACGACGGCAGCAGCCGACGACGCCAGACAAAUAAAUCCGCGCGACACAGCGCGUAACGAGCCUACCGUGAUGAAAAAGAAAAGGAAAUGAUGACGCCGCGUUUCGCGUGGGCACUCGGUACACGAUCAACGAAGUACCACACAACGAUUGAGGUGGAAAAUAAAUCGCGCUAGAGAGGAGGCGAAGGUGUGCGUCGGCGCUACGGAGUUUCGCGGCCACCUACGCGUUUCGCGACGCCAAGGAAGAUCAAGCCGCAAAAAGGCGGCGAGUCAAUCGCGAGAGAGCUCGAUAAAUAAAAAAAAAUACAUAUAAAAUGGUGAAACAAAGCAAUGAGAGAUUGAGAGACUCGAUCGAGGAGAUUUGCGGCAAUCGAAGAAAAAGGAAGGGACUUUUUAUAUACCGUGCGACAGAUGUCUUGGCAUAUGCACAUCUAGAACGAUCAGAUAGAUAUCGAUCAAAAUUAAUAAAUAAUUCUUAUUAUGUAAGAAUUACACGGAAACUAUUACUGGGCGUAUAUUGGAAACGUCGAUUACCAAAGCGAGCGAGUGUAUCGCAAAGGAAAUCGCGUGGAUACUCAGCACUGGGGUAGUAUUGAGACACGUGGCGUGCCUACGCGUCAAAUAGCUUUAAAAAAAACCGCUUUAAAAAAAGCAGAAAGUGAAAUCUUGACGAAGCGCGAGAGUAAAAACAGAAGAUACGAUCGAUCGAGCUCAUCUCGAUUUCGAUGCCUGUGGCCGCUCGAGGGGCAUAAUUUAAAUUUCAUAGAGCGCAUAAAGUCAUGUUUAUUUCUCGUAAAAAAAUCUGCCGAUGUAAAACUGUUCUUUUACGGAAUAAAAUAUUGUCGAGGUUUAACUCGAUUAAGUAAAACUUCCUGUAUAAAUUAAAUUUCGCGAAGGAAAAAAAAGGUCUCGAGUUUGUUUCUAGGAUAAUUAACAUUGAACAUAAUUCCUAUAAUGAUAAUAAAAAACGAAAUUGUAAAAUGUAUAAUUUUAUCACAUGAGAUUAUGAAAAACAUAAUGUAGAAUAAGGUUCUUGCGCGCCUACUCUCAUUAUUUCCAUUUAAAUUUUAAUUUCAUUAAAAUGUUAAACUUUAAAGGCCGUAAGACGCUCUUAAUUUUACCGACGGCAAGAAUGACAGCUUCGUCACAUUUGGCUAAGUAUUACUGUAUCACAAGCGCGAAUUCAGUUAUGGGUGCCGAGAUUCGCAGCGACAGCGAGAAAAAGAACCCAAAGCUCAGCGAGAUGAUUCGUGUAGAGACGAUCGGCAAACAAACCAAAGAGAAUUUGGUAGAAGCGCAGCCGGUCUAUACGUAAUAAUCUAAAAUUCUACGUAUACAGUAAUAAUCUAAACAAACCGUCUAGGCAAAGGUAUGGAUUUCUUCACGGUUCGUGUGAAUAUUCUAUAAUGAAUGUUUUCUGCUUUUCGUCAUACCGAUAUUUAAAAGACAGUAGAAUUUAAUAACAGAAAAUGAAUAUGAGAUUAUACAUCCCGUACUACUCCUUACAAUGCAAUUACUGUACCAUAAACUGAUCGGAUAAUUAAUAACUUCCACGUAAAUCACACAGUUUAUCGUCUAAUACUAUACUUCGUGACGUAAGAUACUUUCAAUAAAUAGCACUGUACGAACCGUGUGUGUGUCAGCUUCGCAUCUGCCUAAGCCUCUUUGGGG
rnacentral:lncRNA from 1 species